CGCUCCUUCGCGGGCCCAGCGCGUUCACUUCCUGGGCCCGGCUGGCACUGCCCUGCGCCGCCGCCCGUCAGUCCCGGUACCCCGCCAGGAAAUGUCUUCUUCCUGGGAAGACGGCCGCUGUCUGCGGCAGUGGGUGGCAGAGUCUGAAACCAAGUCGCACAAGCCCUGGGAGACAGAAAGCCUUGUGUUUGUCUUGGGGACUGUUCCGUCAGAAUGAGCAGCUUAAAAAAUGUCGCCUGUGAGGUCUCAGCUCGUACAACAAGAAGAUAGCAAUCUGCAAACCAG
rnacentral:lncRNA from 1 species